CCCCACCGCGGUAAUUUGACCGUGCGAAGGUAGCAUAGUCAGUAGUCUUUUAAUUGAAGGCUUGAAUGAAAGGUUGGACGAGGGAUGAGCUGUCUCCUUUAUGUAAUUUGAAUUUAACUUUUGAGUGAAAAGGCUCAAAUUAUUUAGUGGGACGAUAAGACCCUAUAAAACUUUAUAUAAGUUUAAUUUGGCUUACAAUUUGAGUGAAAAGUAGCUUUAUUAGGCUUAUAUUUCGUUGGGGAGAUGUAGAUAUAAUGUGUAACUGUCUGUUUAAUUUAAUAAUUAUAAUUAGUGUAUGAUCCUUCUUUGUGGAUUAAAAGUAUAAGUUACUUUAGGGAUAACAGCGUGAUUUUCUUUGAGAGUUCUUAUCGACAAGAGUAGUUGCGACCUCGAUGUUGAAUUAAAAUUUCAGUUAGGUGUAGCCGUCUAGCUGGUAGCGC
rnacentral:rRNA from 1 species